rnacentral:tRNA from 1 species
ACCCAAAUAGCUCAGUUGGGAGAGCGUUAAACUAAAUGGAAGGGUCCCUGGUUCGAUCGCAGGAUCCGGCA